ACGAAGAGCUUAUGAUAGUCGCGAAUGCACCGCACACUCGCCUAUACAGAACCGCGUGUGGGCUCUCCAUUCGAGACCGAAGAGCCUCCCUUGCCACGCGUGCAGGACAGACUCGAACAGCGGUAUGAAAAGCGGGCGCCGGCAUCCACCCCAAAUUUGCUGCUUUUUCUUUCGCAUCAUCAUUAGAGCACUCGCACCGCUCCCCCCACAUACUACAGGUCACGACAAGCGUGCGCGCCCUUUCAUCUGACCGCGCUCCGUCGUCGAGAGAGGUAGAAUGCCGUUCGAGCCGGUGCCAAAGAGUAAGCGAAGCUGUUCCCCCAUUCGGUGGAACUCCAUUCGCCUGCCGGCGAACUUGCAGGCCCUGCUCGCGGCGAGCAAGGAACGCACAUUUGCUGCGAAUGUGUCCAUCUUCGAGGGAUUUGGCUCCUUUCACUCCGAAAAUGUUGAAGACCUCAUCGCGGCGGACGAGGCAACCUACAAGCCCCCUGCGCAUUUUCCGGCAUUUGCGAAGCGUAUUCUCUCCAAGUCGGAGAUUGCCCGCGCUCUGAUGGCGCCUCCGGAAAACGCGGCUCACUCGACGUUGCCUAGUGGGAGCCCCACCCGAAAGCGAAGCCGCUGCGAAGCGAUGCAUUGCGGCGGUGCCGUUUCCUCGGUCGCACUCCGCAAGAGCCGAGUGGAGACGGCGCCGGAAGCCAACGCGCUUUCGGGGGCGGGCCACAACAACACGGACGACGUUACCGAUGGCGAUAGUGAUCUGUGUAGUGAUGAAAGCUGCUUCUCCUCCUUCUCUGUCGUCGGUGCGUGGAGCGCCUCUGCGAAGUGCCAGAUACGCGAGAUGGCCAACCAAGCAGUGGAGCCCUGCGAGCUGGGCAACGCUUUCCGUUCUGAGCACUUCAAUAUCACCCCUGCUAUGGUGCUUAUCAAUCACGGCGCGUUUGGCGGCACCUUGGUCGGUGCUAUGCUGAUCAAGUGGCUCUACGAGGAGCACAUGGAGGCGGAAGUGGUGCGGUUUGUGGAUCGGGAGCUGCUCCCACUGAUCGUAUACAGCAUUCGCGCUCUGAGCCGCUUCCUGCACGCCGAUCCACGCCAGGUGGUGCUGCUGCCAAACGCCACUUUCGGCCUCAACUGCGCCAUGCGCAUGAUUGUCAAGGAUGACGUGGUCGCUUUUUUUGACACGGAGUACUUGGCGGUGUACAAGAUGAUGUGGCUUCGCUGUGAGGAGGUCGGCGCUUCCCUGCAUGAGAUCUGUCUGAACAGGUUUUUGCAUGACCCGGAGGUGAUGGGCGACAACACCGCUCUAACGGCGGAGAUCUGCCGCCAGCUACCCGCCAACUGUACGACAGUUGUACUGGACUACGUGACGUCCACAAGUGCGCUCUGCUUCCCCGUCUUUACGCACAUCAUUCCAGCUCUGAGGCAACGUGGCGUGCGCAAGAUCAUUGUCGACGGCGCUCACGCGCCGUUGCAGGUUGAGCUGGACUUCAAGGCACUGCCGCCCGAGUCGCAGCCCUCCGUCUUUGUAGGCAACUUGCACAAGUGGUUCUCCUCGCCCAAGUCAGCGGGCUUCUUCUGGGUACGGUCGGAUGACGUGGCGAAGAUGCACAGCGUGGUGCUCUCGCACGGAGCCGGAGAGGGCCUCCUCUCGGAGUUUAUCUGGGACGGCACACGUGACUACGGCACCUACCUAUCGAUUCCCGCGAUUGUGGAGUUCUGGGAAAAUCAGGGGCACGACCGGGUGCGGGACUACUGCUCUCACCUCUUGUCAUCUGCCGCAGACAUGCUCACUAUCGCUUUUCACUCACGCAGGGUCGCUCGCCACGCUCCCUUCAUGUCGCUGGUGGAGCUACCUGAGAAGCUGCAGGACAGCCUCAUCACAGCAACAUACAUCCAAGACAGCCUCCAUGACAUCGCCCGAGUCGAGGUGCCAGUUAAACGGAUCGAGGGCCGCUACUACCUACGCAUCAGCGCCUUUGUUUACAACACCCCUGAUGAGUACAUCUACCUGCGCGAGGCGGUCUUGUCCGUCGCCGACAAGUGGGUGCAGUCUCCACAACGCAAGCAUCUGUAUGCGCAACGGCUCUCUUCUCACGCGGCCGCCACCGCCACGAAUGACCAGCUCGCUGCUGUGCCGUGAAACGGGUCCGUUCGUUGUCAAGGUGUCUGCGAAGUCCUUGGCCUGGUCCCCUCUACCACGCGCAACAAGGCGUCCUACUUAGCGUAGGCCAUCCUACCGUGACACACAGAACAAGGAAGCGAUGGACACGGUUUGUGAGCCACCACGCGUCCGACUGCUGCAGGGUCGAUGCGCCGGUUCAUUGUCCGCCUCUACGCAGCGAAGCAGCAGCCUGUUCUCGCCACCUCGCCCUUCUUUUCUUGACUGUAGAACCGUUGCCGUGGGCUGAAGCGGGGGGGGAGCCGGUGACGGCGUUGUUUUCGAAGCCGUGCGGAGGCGGUGGGCGUCGUUAUCCUCAACAGAUGUCCUGUCGCUGAGGAGUGGUUCUGCCCUUUUGUUGACGUUUGUGUCUGUCCGCCGGCGUGUGUCUGGGUAUGUGUGUUUGCCUACCACACCGGCUCCUUCUAUGUUCCUUCUUCUGCUCUGCCGUUCCCCCGUCUCCCGUCUUCUUCUGCGCGACUGCGAAGGCUGAGAGUGAGCAGAUGGGCACCGCUCGGUCUGGCACGUAUUUCUCUAUUCUCUUUUUUUAACCAAUCUGUGCUCUAGUACUCUUUAGUGUCUCGCUGCCUCUCUCCCUGCGUGAGCCACCGGCAGGAGUGCAAGUGACGGGGACGUGGUUGCCUGCUGCAUAUCGUCGUCGCCCGCCUGGCACGACUUCUCCGUGCUCGUAUUGACGUCAUGUUGCAGUAUCACAUCAUUCUCCCUCUACCCCCGUGCGCCUGCACCAGUGUAUGUGCGCGUGCGCGUCUCACAGGCGCCCACCCGUGCACUCCAAAUCGAAAAGGGAGGCGCGUGCGUGUGAAAACGAGGAUUGUGUGCCUCUCUGAGUGAAGGCGGACAGUGAGAUGGGAGGGUUGAGGGAGACUUCCGAAUCCUUGAGCGCUCGUUGGCAGUGAUGAGGGGCCGUGCUUUCCUAUGCGAGAGGGCUAGAAUGUUUCCUUGUGUUGUUUCGUCCUGUUGCAUCACUGACACGACACACGCCAGUCAGGAGUGGAGGCUUUUACAAGAUAU
rnacentral:misc_RNA from 1 species